rnacentral:rRNA from 1 species
GAUGAACGCUGGCGGCGUGCCUAAUACAUGCAAGUCGAGCGAACAGACGAGGAGCUUGCUCCUCUGACGUUAGCGGCGGACGGGUGAGUAACACGUGGAUAACCUACCUAUAAGACUGGGAUAACUUCGGGAAACCGGAGCUAAUACCGGAUAAUAUAUUGAACCGCAUGGUUCAAUAGUGAAAUACGGUUUUGCUGUCACUUAUAGAUGGAUCCGCGCCGCAUUAGCUAGUUGGUAAGGUAACGGCUUACCAAGGCAACGAUGCGUAGCCGACCUGAGAGGGUGAUCGGCCACACUGGAACUGAGACACGGUCCAGAGUCCUACGGGAGGCAGCAGUAGGGAAUCUUACGCAAUGGGCGAAAGCCUGACGGAGCAACGCCGCGUGAGUGAUGAAGGUCUUCGGAUCGUAAAACUCUGUUAUUAGGGAAGAACAAAUGUGUAAGUAACUAUGCACGUCUUGACGGUACCUAAUCAGAAAGCCACGGCUAACUACGUG